UACGUAGGGCGCAAGCGUUGUCCGGAAUUAUUGGGCGUAAAGAGCUCGUAGGCGGCUUGUCGCGUCUGUUGUGAAAGCCCGGGGCUUAACCCCGGGUCUGCAGUGGAUACGGGCAGGCUAGAGGCAGGUAGGGGAGAACGGAAUUCCCGGUGUAGCGGUGAAAUGCGCAGAUAUCGGGAGGAACACCGGUGGCGAAGGCGGCGAGCUGGCCUGUACCUGACGCUGAGGCGCGACAGCGUGGGGGAGCAAACAGG
rnacentral:rRNA from 1 species